UUACUUCCAACUAGCCAUUUUGGGUGAGAUCCUGGGUUGUUUACAAAUGAUAUCAGAGCGGACCUGGCCCAUAAUCUAUGUGGACUAGGGGACACUGCAGCAUGGAUCCAUUGGAACUAACCAUGAGCCGAUCAUGGUGUUUGUGAUUAGAUUUGAAUGGAUUUGAACCCUUAGCCUGAUGAGAACGUCAGGGCUUAAAUGGGGGGAGUAUGUGAGGAUCCGUGCGGGCGUGUGUUUAGUCUCACAUCGGUUAUUCGCUGAAUAGAUCUUGGGUAUUUAUACAGGAUCAAGGAACCCAAAUAGUAACUUCCGGCUAGCCAUUUUGGGUAAGAUCCUGGGUUGUUACAUAAUAUACAAGAAUUAAAAUGCUCUCAUAAGUUGUUCACUAAUAGAUCUACUUUGCUCCUUAGGCUGAAUGUGUAUCUUGCUCAAGUCUCCUUAUGUCAGCCACAUAAUCAUAAGCUGACUCAGAUUUCAUUUGCAGCUUCUCUAUAUGUGAGGACCAGCCCACACACAGUGGACUAAUGGGCCAAGCCCAACGUGGCUGGCCCAUCUGAAAAUCCAAGUAGCCUUUCGGGAAGAAGAUGGAGACGGUAAUCGCCAGCUGUCCGGCGGUUACAACCGCCUGACAGCCACGAUCACCACCACUCUUCUCCCUCCCCACCGAGUGCCAUAAGAACCAGGGGCUCUUCUCAUGGAUGUUUCAUUCCUCACCUCUCACUGCCCCUCACUCCCUUUUUCUCCUGCUACAAGGAACGGAAGAGUAGGGAUCUAAGCCGCCGGAAGGAACAUCAUAGAGUUGUCCCGGAGCUAGGUAAGUCCCUGACUUCUUCUUCCCUGGUAUUAUGCAAGUAGAUCUAGCUUAAUCAUGAAACAACAAGACAGAGAGAANNN
rnacentral:lncRNA from 1 species